rnacentral:misc_RNA from 1 species
GAUGAAGAACGUAGCGAAAUGCGAUAAGUAGUGUGAAUUGCAGAAUUCAGUGAAUCAUCGAAUCUUUGAACGCACAUUGCGCCCCUUGGCAUUCCAUGGGGCAUGCCUGUUCGAGCAUCAUUUGUACCUUCAAGCUCUGCUUGGUGUUGGGUGUUUGUCUCGCCUCUGCGUGUAGACUCGCCUCAAAACAAUUGGCAGCCGGCGUAUUGAUUUCGGAGCGCAGUACAUCUCGCGCUUUGCACUCAUAACGACGACGUCCAAAAGUACAUUUUUACACUCUUGACCUCGGAUCAGGUAGGGAUACCCGCUGAACUUAAGCAUAUCAAUAAGCGGAGGA